rnacentral:rRNA from 1 species
GGGUUGUGAGGUUAAGCGACUAAGCGUACACGGUGGAUGCCCUGGCAGUCAGAGGCGAUGAAGGACGUGCUAAUCUGCGAUAAGCGUCGGUAAGGUGAUAUGAACCGUUAUAACCGGCGAUUUCCGAAUGGGGAAACCCAGUGUGAUUCGUCACACUAUCAUUAACUGAAUCCAUAGGUUAAUGAGGCGAACCGGGGGAACUGAAACAUCUAAGUACCCCGAGGAAAAGAAAUCAACCGAGAUUCCCCCAGUAGCGGCGAGCGAACGGGGAGCAGCCCAGAGCCUGAAUCAGUGUGUGUGUUAGUGGAAGCGUCUGGAAAGGCGCGCGAUACAGGGUGACAGCCCCGUACACAAAAAUGCACAUGCUGUGAGCUCGAUGAGUAGGGCGGGACACGUGGUAUCCUGUCUGAAUAUGGGGGGACCAUCCUCCAAGGCUAAAUACUCCUGACUGACCGAUAGUGAACCAGUACCGUGAGGGAAAGGCGAAAAGAACCCCGGCGAGGGGAGUGAAAAAGAACCUGAAACCGUGUACGUACAAGCAGUGGGAGCACGCUUAGGCGUGUGACUGCGUACCUUUUGUAUAAUGGGUCAGCGACUUAUAUUCUGUAGCAAGGUUAACCGAAUAGGGGAGCCGAAGGGAAACCGAGUCUUAACUGGGCGUUAAGUUGCAGGGUAUAGACCCGAAACCCGGUGAUCUAGCCAUGGGCAGGUUGAAGGUUGGGUAACACUAACUGGAGGACCGAACCGACUAAUGUUGAAAAAUUAGCGGAUGACUUGUGGCUGGGGGUGAAAGGCCAAUCAAACCGGGAGAUAGCUGGUUCUCCCCGAAAGCUAUUUAGGUAGCGCCUCGUGAAUUCAUCUCCGGGGGUAGAGCACUGUUUCGGCAAGGGGGUCAUCCCGACUUACCAACCCGAUGCAAACUGCGAAUACCGGAGAAUGUUAUCACGGGAGACACACGGCGGGUGCUAACGUCCGUCGUGAAGAGGGAAACAACCCAGACCGCCAGCUAAGGUCCCAAAGUCAUGGUUAAGUGGGAAACGAUGUGGGAAGGCCCAGACAGCCAGGAUGUUGGCUUAGAAGCAGCCAUCAUUUAAAGAAAGCGUAAUAGCUCACUGGUCGAGUCGGCCUGCGCGGAAGAUGUAACGGGGCUAAACCAUGCACCGAAGCUGCGGCAGCGACGCUUAUGCGUUGUUGGGUAGGGGAGCGUUCUGUAAGCCUGCGAAGGUGUGCUGUGAGGCAUGCUGGAGGUAUCAGAAGUGCGAAUGCUGACAUAAGUAACGAUAAAGCGGGUGAAAAGCCCGCUCGCCGGAAGACCAAGGGUUCCUGUCCAACGUUAAUCGGGGCAGGGUGAGUCGACCCCUAAGGCGAGGCCGAAAGGCGUAGUCGAUGGGAAACAGGUUAAUAUUCCUGUACUUGGUGUUACUGCGAAGGGGGGACGGAGAAGGCUAUGUUGGCCGGGCGACGGUUGUCCCGGUUUAAGCGUGUAGGCUGGUUUUCCAGGCAAAUCCGGAAAAUCAAGGCUGAGGCGUGAUGACGAGGCACUACGGUGCUGAAGCAACAAAUGCCCUGCUUCCAGGAAAAGCCUCUAAGCAUCAGGUAACAUCAAAUCGUACCCCAAACCGACACAGGUGGUCAGGUAGAGAAUACCAAGGCGCUUGAGAGAACUCGGGUGAAGGAACUAGGCAAAAUGGUGCCGUAACUUCGGGAGAAGGCACGCUGAUAUGUAGGUGAAGCGACUUGCUCGUGGAGCUGAAAUCAGUCGAAGAUACCAGCUGGCUGCAACUGUUUAUUAAAAACACAGCACUGUGCAAACACGAAAGUGGACGUAUACGGUGUGACGCCUGCCCGGUGCCGGAAGGUUAAUUGAUGGGGUCAGCGCAAGCGAAGCUCUUGAUCGAAGCCCCGGUAAACGGCGGCCGUAACUAUAACGGUCCUAAGGUAGCGAAAUUCCUUGUCGGGUAAGUUCCGACCUGCACGAAUGGCGUAAUGAUGGCCAGGCUGUCUCCACCCGAGACUCAGUGAAAUUGAACUCGCUGUGAAGAUGCAGUGUACCCGCGGCAAGACGGAAAGACCCCGUGAACCUUUACUAUAGCUUGACACUGAACAUUGAGCCUUGAUGUGUAGGAUAGGUGGGAGGCUUUGAAGUGUGGACGCCAGUCUGCAUGGAGCCGACCUUGAAAUACCACCCUUUAAUGUUUGAUGUUCUAACGUGGACCCGUAAUCCGGGUUGCGGACAGUGUCUGGUGGGUAGUUUGACUGGGGCGGUCUCCUCCUAAAGAGUAACGGAGGAGCACGAAGGUUGGCUAAUCCUGGUCGGACAUCAGGAGGUUAGUGCAAUGGCAUAAGCCAGCUUGACUGCGAGCGUGACGGCGCGAGCAGGUGCGAAAGCAGGUCAUAGUGAUCCGGUGGUUCUGAAUGGAAGGGCCAUCGCUCAACGGAUAAAAGGUACUCCGGGGAUAACAGGCUGAUACCGCCCAAGAGUUCAUAUCGACGGCGGUGUUUGGCACCUCGAUGUCGGCUCAUCACAUCCUGGGGCUGAAGUAGGUCCCAAGGGUAUGGCUGUUCGCCAUUUAAAGUGGUACGCGAGCUGGGUUUAGAACGUCGUGAGACAGUUCGGUCCCUAUCUGCCGUGGGCGCUGGAGAACUGAGGGGGGCUGCUCCUAGUACGAGAGGACCGGAGUGGACGCAUCACUGGUGUUCGGGUUGUCAUGCCAAUGGCACUGCCCGGUAGCUAAAUGCGGAAGAGAUAAGUGCUGAAAGCAUCUAAGCACGAAACUUGCCCCGAGAUGAGUUCUCCCUGACUCCUUGAGAGUCCUGAAGGAACGUUGAAGACGACGACGUUGAUAGGCCGGGUGUGUAAGCGCAGCGAUGCGUUGAGCUA